rnacentral:rRNA from 1 species
AGCGAACGCUGGCGGCAUGCCUAACACAUGCAAGUCUGACGGGCCUGGGGCUUGCUCCGGGUCAGUGGCGGACGGGUGAGGAACGCGUAGGAACGUAUCCAAGGGUGGGGGAUAACCGCGGGAAACUGCGGCUAAUACCGCAUGGGGCCUCAAGGGAGACCUGGGGGCCAAAGGCUGAGGGAAACCUUGGUCGCCGAUGGAGCGGCCUGCGUCCGAUUAGCUAGUUGGUGGGGUGACGGCUACCAAGGCUACGAUCGGUAGCUGGUCUGAGAGGAUGAUCAGCCACACUGGGACUGAGACACGGCCCAGACUCCUACGGGAGGCAGCAGUGGGGAGUAUUGGACAAUGGGCGAAAGCCUGAUCCAGCAAUGCCGCGU